CUUCUUGAAAUUUAAAGAAUUUGGCGGUAUUUUAUUCUUAUUAGGGGAACCUGUYUCUUAAACGAUAAACCACGCAAAAUCUAACCUGUUUUAUAUAGUUUGUAUACCGUCAUUGAAAUAACCUUUAAAGAGGUAGUUAUUGAAAUAAAUAAUUUUAGAAUGUUAGAUCAAGGUGCAGCAAAUAAACAGGCGCAGAUGGGUUACAUUAUAAUUUAUAUAUCACGGAAUAGCUCUCGAAUGAGAGUUUAUAAGGCGGACUUAAAAGUAAAAUUAGUUCAAUAAGCUAAUUUGAUUCUAGCUCUAAAAUAUGCACAUAUCGCCCGUCGCUCGCGGGAAAA
rnacentral:rRNA from 1 species